CAAAAACUCAGAAUUCUCUUCCUUGUCGUGUAACGGCCAACCUUAACCCUUUUGGGCAAGGUCGACCCAUUCUUCACCAGCUUGGUCUUGAGUUUGCUUUCCUUGCCAUCAGGUGUUCUAAGGAAACAGUGGAGCGUCAGUCUGAGCUUUCAUUGCUGCUAAGGGAGAGGGGCAAACUUUGGUUAGUAGCAUCUCCUUUGCGUCCCAGAACGAUAUCAAAUGGGCCGCCUGGAAAAGCGCGAGUGAGAAGUCAAAGAAAACUACCAUAGCCAACCUUUACUAGUUUUAGAGAUAGUCCACGACUUCCCUCAAAUCCUUGGCCUAAGGUUCCUUGUGCUUUGUUUGUUGAUGGUUCCUACUCAACCUCCAUGCUUCUUUAGGGACGCUUUUGUAGGGGACCCUUCCUCAUGGUAUUGCAUGUUUUUUCUUCUAGUAGGCGAGGUAGAUUCCUAGAAAGCUGCUCUUGGCGACGCCGGUGGCACUAUGUUUUUGGCUAUAUAGGUUUUCCUACAGUGGUUGUCUACCUAGAACUUCUUGAUACUGAGGCACAGCCCUUGUAUUUCCAGUCUUAAUUUGAUUUUUUGUGGCUGGAGGUUAGGCUUCUUUAAUGUAGGAUCAUUUGCAUUCUAGGCUUGGCCUUGGUUUUCAACUUGUAAUGGUCUCAGUGCCCCUGAAUUUCAUCGAU
rnacentral:misc_RNA from 1 species